rnacentral:rRNA from 1 species
UUGGGAAUCGUACGCAAUGGGCGAAAGCCUGACGUCGCGACGCCGCGUGGAGGAAGACGGCCCUUGGGUUGUAAACUCCUUUUAUCAGGGAAAAUUAUGAUGGUACCUGAUGAAUAAGUGACUGCUAACUACGUGCCAGCAGCAGCGGUAAUACGUAGGUCACGAGCGUUAUCCGGAAUUAUUGGGCGUAAAGGGUUUUUAGGUGGUAAAGCGGGUCUUCGGUAAAAUUCUCAAGCUUAACUUGAGUUUCGCCGAAGAAACUACUUUGCUAGAGGGUAGCAGGGGCAGAUGGAAUUCCCGGUGUAGCAGUGAAAUGCGUUGAGAUCGGGAAGAACACCAAUGGCGCAGGCAAUCUGCUAGGCUACUCCUGACACUGAAGAACGAAAGCGUGGGGAGCGAAUGGG